rnacentral:rRNA from 1 species
AGUGAACGCUGGCGGAAUGCUUUACACAUGCAAGUCGAGCGGCAGCGCGGGGGGCAACCCUGGCGGCGAGCGGCGAACGGGUGAGUAACAUAUCGGAACGUACCCAGUGGUGGGGGAUAACACAUCGAAAGAUGUGCUAAUACCGCAUACGACCUGAGGGUGAAGGGGGGGAUCGCAAGACCUCUCGCCGUUGGAGCGGCCGAUAUCGGAUUAGCUAGUUGGUGAGGUAAAGGCUCACCAAGGCGACGAUCCGUAGCUGGUCUGAGAGGACGACCAGCCACACUGGAACUGAGACACGGUCCUGACUCCUACGGGAGGCAGCAGUGGGGAAUUUUGGACAAUGGGGGCAACCCUGAUUCAGCCAUUCCGCGUGAGUGAAGAAGGCCUUCGGGUUGUAAAGCUCUUUCGGCAGGAACGAAACGGUGUGAGUUAAUACCUCAUAUCAAUGACGGUACCUGAAGAAGAAGCACCGGCUAACUACGUGCCAGCAGCCGCGGUAA